rnacentral:rRNA from 1 species
UACGAGGGGGGCAAGCGUUGUUCGGAAUUAUUGGGCGUAAAGGGCUCGUAGGCGGUUUGUCGCGUCGGGAGUGAAAUCAUCUGGCUUAACUGGGUGCUUGCUUUCGAUACGGGCAGACUAGAGGUAUGCAGGGGAGAACGGAAUUCCUGGUGUAGCGGUGAAAUGCGCAGAUAUCAGGAGGAACACUGGUGGCGAAGGCGGUUCUCUGGGCAUGAUCUGACGCUGAGGAGCGAAAGUGUGGGGAGCGAACAGG